UCAUACGUAAAUUACGCACACAUUAUACACAUUAUAAACACAUUACGCACAGAUCAUACGUAAAUUACGCACACAUUAUACACAUUAUAAACACAUUACGCACAGAUCAUACGUAAAUUACGCACACAUUAUACACAUUAUAAGCACAUCAUACAUGCAGCACGCCGGGGUCUGUGGGCGGAUUAUUUCAGUGUCUGGUGAACGGGACUAAUUUAGCAGACGCAUUGUUGGGUAGAAGUCAAGCUGCCAAAAAAAAUUACUUAAAGAUUCACGGAAGUUCACUUGGUUAUAGCAAUCGCAAGAAUAGCUUCAGAAUACAGUGUUAAGGUGCAGUGUUAAGGUGUGGUGUUAAGGUGCAGUGUUAAGGCGCGGGUGAGUGCAGUGUUUAGGUGCAGUGUUAAGAUCCAGUGUUAAGGCGCGGGUGAGUGCAGUGUUAAGGUGUAGUGUUAAGGCACGGGUGAGUGCAGUGCUUAGGUGCAGUGUUAAGGCACGGGUGAGUGCAGUGCUUAGGUGCAGUGUUAAGGCAUAGUGUUAAGGUGCGGGUGAAUGCAGAGUUAAGGCGCGGGUGAGUGCAGUGUUUAAGGGCAGUGUUAAGGUGCAGUGUUGAGGUGCAGUGUUAAGGCACGGGUGAGUGCAGUGCUUAGGUGCAGUGUUAAGGCAUGUGUGAGUGAAGUGCUUAGGUGCAGUGUUAAGGUGCAAUGUUGAGGUGCAGUGUUAAGGUGCGGUGUUAAGGUGUGUGUGACUCACGCAGGUGAAGAGCAGCGCUCCCAGGGACGCGUAGACGAUGUGCAGGAUCCGGUGGCGAAUGAAGAUGCAGAGGAAGGAGAAGAGUAGCAGCACGAUGAGGCAGACGAACAGGACCCCCCGACAGGAAGUGAAGUCGUAUUUGCUCUGUUUCAGGUCACAUGACAGGAACGGUUUCAUCAAAGUGAAAAAAGGAAAGGGUUUUUAUCAUAAUGCAGUUCUCACAUAAUGCUACUUGAGAACUACUGGAGAAGAUCUGGCUGCUAGUUCAGGUCUGAUCUGAACUAAAGAGUUCAGCCGUGUAGACAGCCUCAGGACAGAUUAGAGAGAGGAGUAACUCCACUCAUCACAGAGUGUAUGAGAGAGAGUGUGAGAGAGAGACUGACCUGCAGAGAGAUGGGGAAGCGAGGGAGUGUGAGAGAGAGAGAGAGAGAGAGACUGACCUGCAGAGAGAAGAGGACCACAGUGAAGCACACUACAGCCGUGAUGCCCACAGCCAUGAUGACGGAGUCCGUGUCGUAGAAGCUGGCGAUCAUCCCCACCAUGUAGGACAGACUGAGCGUCAGGAUGGACUGCAGGACACACACAACAGCGUCUCAGUCAGCACCACAGAACAGCGUCUCAGUCAGCACCACAGAACAGCGUCUCAGUCAGCACCACACAACAGCGUCUCAGUCAGCACCACACAACAGCGUCUCAGUCAGCACCACAGAACAGCGUCUCCAAUCAGCACCACAGAACAGCGUCUCAGUCAGCACCACAGAACAGCGUCUCAGUCAGCACCACACAACAGCGUCUCAGUCAGCACCACACAACAGCGUCUCAGUCAGCACCACAGAACAGCGUCUCAGUCAGCACCACAGAACAGCGUCUCAGUCAGCACCACACAACAGCGUCUCAGUCAGCACCACAGAGGGGGCCCGUGUCUGUGAUCCCGUCACUCUAGGGGCCCCGUGUCUGUAAUCACCCAAAGAGCCCCUUAUGUUUUAAUGUGCAAUAGUUCCUGUCAAAUAAACGAAUAAAUAAAAUUAAAUUAAA